UACGGGGGGGGCAAGCGUUGUUCGGAAUUACUGGGCGUAAAGGGCUCGUAGGCGGCCAACUAAGUCAGACGUGAAAUCCCUCGGCUUAACCGGGGAACUGCAUCUGAUACUGGAUGGCUUGAGUUCGGGAGAGGGAUGCGGAAUUCCAGGUGUAGCGGUGAAAUUCGUAGAUAUUCGCAAGAACACCAGUGGCGAAGGCGGCCGACUGGUCCGGUUCUGACGCUGAGGCGCGAAAGCGUGGGGAGCAAACAGG
rnacentral:rRNA from 1 species